GAAGAAGGCGCGCCUCGCUCUCCACUGGGCGUGCUGUGCGCUGUGCGGCGAGGCCGUGGGUUGAGGCCGUCUUGGUUGGCUGAGCCGUUGAAAAGCAGCGCCAGCCCACAGCAGACCAGGUGUCGGCUGGACCUCAUUUCUGGGAGAACCCAGGCUCUUUGUGUCAGCUACUCUGUUUGAUUAAAAUCACUCUUCAAAGAAGAACCAUUCAUGUUAUCAGGUGGAAUUGUUAUUGUUUAAUUGUUACCAGUUUUAAAAUUGCUGCAUUUUAAGCGUUUUAGCUAAGUGUGAAAUGAAAGACUUCUGUUGUGAACCUCAGGGAUGCACUUUGGCCACGGAGUGGACAGCAGAAUGAAGGGUAUCAGGGAUAGGGGUGUUUUUAUAGAAGUAGCAGAUGACUAAAGAAUGGAAACGGGUCAAGAGUGAGAUGGACAACAAAACCCAGCCAACAGGUACAAAUCAUCUAAUGACUUCGCAGUAGACGGGGCUGUCAUCUAAUGACUAGGAAUCUGGGGAAAUGGGGCCCUAAGAAAAUAGGUUGGUUCACUGAGAAACAUGGGAUGCCACGGCUUUUUAUAAAACUUUAAAACUCAGCCCCUCAUGCUAAUAAUAGCCUGCUGAUUCUUUCAGCGAUAGUUUGCAUUAUCAUGAACACAUUAGUUAAGUAGUUUGUGGACUGACAGUCUCUUUUCAAGGUAAUAAAUGUUUUCUCAAACCACAAAGUACAGUCCUUUGCUAGUCUGCUAAUAAGCCCAGAACAUUGUUCAUCUGUAAAAAAAAUAAAGAAAUGAAAUAGAAGGCCACUUCAAAGCCUUGUGCAGGAAAGACUCCCAAAGGUAAGCGCAUGCUCACACACAGCCUACGUGACAACUCGAUUUCCACUUCACUCUCAGGAGCCACUACCAAGGAGUGCACACAGUCCUCACACAGCAGCAGUGGUGUAACGGGUUUGGGCCGACAGCCUUCCCACUAGGGUAAGAACAGUGACCUGAAAUGGCUGACAUACUAAUUCCUUUAACAGCAGAGCCUCCGACCUUCUGGGUGAUGACACAGAAAGUAGAAAGACUUCGCAAUAAUGGAGGCUGGGAAACCACAGCGUUCUCUUUGGACUGGUUUCCCACCGCCAGCCAGCCAACUUAUGUCAGAAACAGAGACAGAAGAGAGAAGAUUUCCUCAGUUACACUGGGUGAAGAGGGAAAGCUCUAAGUUCCUCUCCGUUUUACUCUCUGAACUCUGCCCAUUUGUACAAGAGCUGUGCAAAAGUUAAAAAUAAGGAAUCCAAUAAGGUGAGUGGAGCAUAAGGGUUGGAUGUCUCCUGGUCAUUGUGAGGACUGGGAGGUCGGAGAGCUGGGGAAGUAAAUUCUACAGCUGAUCUGUGGAGCUGCAUCUGGCUUUCACAGGAGAGGAAUCAGGCCUGCCUUUCCUGUCAUGAUGCCCUGGGGGACAGGCUGCAGUCAUUUCCCUAGAGAGGUGGGACGCUGGCUCUGUGUGAGUUGAAGAGAAAUAAAAUGGGGAUAAAGGAGAACUUCAUAAGAACAGAUGCACAAACACCUUUGCAGAGAAUGUCUGAGUUUCUUCUCUUGUUCCCAUAAAAUCACAGUGUCCCAGUGGGACUUUCAUGAGGAAGACUUUGAUACCUAUGAUUGAAACCAGAGGUGAACUGUUUCUUCCUUAAAGACAUGUCUAAAUGUAUACUUCAAUUUUGCAUAUUAGCCUACAGGUGGGUUUCUGUUGCAGUGCAGGGGAGGCAGCCUGUGUUUGAAAGGAACAUAAUUAUUGGGCUUAAUAUGAAUAGAUAGAAAACCAAAACAUUGGAAAUGGAUGUCGAUGGCCAUCCUUUGCAGUAUGCAUAUUGGUCAAAUCUGGUACCACCAGAUUUAAUGUUCCUUCUGAAUGAAAGAGCCAAGUGCACAAAUAGAGAUUAACGUGACCCCUGUUGAAUUAUAAAGUGUAUUCUUCUUGGAGCCUGGGGAAAAUUAACAUUUAAUACACGGGACAGUUCACUGGGUAUGCUUGAAUAAUGCUGGCAUUCUGAAUUCUGUACAUUCUGAAUCUACUUAUGCCAGAUGCGAGAUCAUGAAAAUCUAAGGACCACGAGACAGAAGGAAGCUUUGCACUUUUGCUUGUUAUUCUCCCAGAGAGAAAGUCAGUGGCAUCUCCUGGUUUGCUCCCACAACCCUGUUUUUUUCAUCACCAAGAAACUUGUAUUUUUUAAACUCCCAGAUUUUUACUGUUCAGAUGAGGGAAAGAUGACCGCAUAAGGAAAGCCUCCCUUGUAUACAACUGCAGUGGCCAUUACCUUUUCCCCAGGAGGAUGCUGCCUGUGAGCUGUCCUUUUUCUCUAAAUCUAGAAGUAAUGAAACCCUAUCCACAAAUCACCCUUGUGACCAAUUUCUCCUACUAUUUGUCAUCCUAACUUGGGAGAGUUAUUGGUGUGACAUUGCUGGUCCUAGCUAGUUAGAGUGCUUUUAUUUUGUAUUUCUCACCGAGCAUGUGAUGUAGCAUAAAACCCUGGCAGUGUCUGCAGGAACAAAGCUGUACCAGACCAUCAGUGCCUCUGGCUUCCUGUUGGGUCCCUGGCAGCCUAAGCUGGGCGUGUGUGGUUGCCCACUACGGUGAAGGAAGAUGGGAAGGUGUGAGAGACAGUCAGAGGGUGUUUAGGAGGGUAAGAAAGAUGGUGAGUUUUCCUACAUUUAGAUCUUUGGGAUACCAUAACCCUUCAGAUUUACUUUGGAAAAAGUUAAAGCCAUUUAUUUACAAGACAGACGAGUUCAUUUUUCUGUGUGUUGGGGAGGGAGAAAUACCCUAGGGUAGACGACUGAAUACUUUUAAGUUACCUUUUACUUCUCUUGAGUAAGGGACUAACUGGAGUAGGAAAUCCAGUUUGCUGAUAGAAUUUAUUGCCUUUCCCCCCCCUAGUAUAAUUUGCCUUUUAAAUUACAUUUUAUUUAAACUAACAGGUUAAAUUUCUUGAGCUACAUUAAUCUGGCAUAGCAAUAGUUAUGUUAACCUAUUUUACAAAUCCCUAAAACUCAAAGCAAAGAAAUUUAGGGCAGUAAUGAAGCAAUUAAAAAAAAAAAAAAAAGGUUUUAGAGCCUACUUAAACCACUGAAUUUUGUGUCUUUCAGUGUUAGAUGUUUUCCUGGUGCGACAAGCUAUUCAGUUUGCUGUAAGGCCUUGCUGGGUAAUGCAGAGGUGACCAGCAUUCUGUAAAAGCACAGGUGGUCUCUGUUUGAGGGUAUCAUCUUCCAGGAGCUUUCCUACCCAUCUUGUCACCAUGACAGUCAGGCUUCAGGCAGAGGGGCUACAUAAAUGCUGGAGGGAGGACCAUGGUGGUUGUGAUGUAGGGUCCCUUUCACAAGCCUGGUGAACCAUACUUCUCUGAACAGUUAUGUAUUUACAAAACCUACAAUAGCAAUCACAACUGAGAGUAAAGAGAAGGCUGAAAUGAUAAAAAAACCCUAGACUUUCACAUAGCUUUCAUUUUUAAUGAUCUCUGUGUUGUUUAUCAAAGGCAAAAAAUGAGUAUCUUUUAAGCUAUGUUCUCUUAAUUUUCAAAGGAAAAAGAUUCUUGCAGAACAUCAUGCUUUAAGUUAAGAAUAUUCAGACAAAAGCAGUUUGGAACUUUCGGGUGAGAGCAAAGGAGAAAGGAAACUUUAGAAAAUCUUUAUUCAUUUUCUAUUUUAGCUUAUCUCCCCAUGUUCUAAGUAAGUCAGGAAAAAUAAAUAGCUUGUUGUUGAUUUUGCUUUAAAGCAGCUUAAAUUAGGGAAGAAGGAAUCAAAAGGAAUGACGACAAACUGUAUUUGGAUUAGGUCAUUAACUGGUUUAUAAUUGGCUUUAAUUUAUCCUUAGCAUUAACUUCCUGAAGUGCAUUUGCCUUAUUGGCAGAGAGGCAAGGCCAUCAGUUACUUGCUUUCCCAGAAGACCCCCCAGUUACACAAAGACCAAGUUGACCCUAAGAGUGGAUUUCUUCAUUAGCUUGACACGCAUUGGCUACUGAGAGGCAGCCCCACAAUCACAGGGUGAAUGCACUCGGAGAUCCUGGGGAACACAGGAAGGAGCCUUCUGCUAAGAGGAGUUUCUGCAUUAAGGGAGAAACUGCUGGUCUUUGCUGACUGGGGAGAGGGAGUUUCCUCACAAAUUUCUGAUGGCAGCAACUAAUAAAUGCAUGUAAAGGUACAAUGGAUGAGAAUUUGAGCUUAACAGCUGAAUGAAAAAUUAAAUGAUGAACAGGAGAGAAGACAAAUGACUUAAGCCUGCAGUUUUUAAAAACAUGAACACUAGAAAUAAAACAACUGAAUUCUCUGCCGACAUGGGUUCAAUUCCAUUUUCUAAGCAUGCUUUGAAGGCAAACGUGGUGGAGCUGGCCCUCCCAGGCCGGUGUGGGGGCCCCGGGCAGGC